CCUACGGGAGGCAGCAGUGAGGAAUAUUGGUCAAUGGGCGCGAGCCUGAACCAGCCAAGUAGCGUGAGGGAUGACUGCCCUACGGGUUGUAAACUGCUUUUAUAAAGGAAUAAAGUGAGCCACGUGUGCCGUUUUGUAUGUACUUUAUGAAUAAGGAUCGGCUAACUCCGUGCCAGCAGCCGCGGUAAUACGGAGGAUCCGGGCGUUAUCCGGAUUUAUUGGGUUUAAAGGGAGCGUAGAUGGGUUGUUAAGUCAGUUGUGAAAGUUUGCGGCUCAACCGUAAACUUGCAAUUGAUACUGGCAGUCUUGAGUACAGAUGAGGUAGGCGGAAUUCGUGGUGUAGCGGUGAAAUGCUUAGAUAUCACGAAGAACUCCGAUUGCGAAGGCAGCAUACCGGCGCCCAACUGACGCUGAAGCACGAAAGCGUGGGUAUCGAACGGGAUUAGAUACCCGGGUAGUC
rnacentral:rRNA from 1 species